UUGGAGGGCAAGUCUGGUGCCAGCAGCCGCGGUAAUUCCAGCUCCAAUAGCGUAUAUUAACGUUGUUGCAGUUAAAAAGCUCGUAGUUGAAGUGUGGGUGAUCGCUGUUGUGAGACUUCGGUCUCUCGAUAGUAAGUCACCCCCUUCCAGUAUCCAGUAGUGGGUAUUCACUUACUUACUACUGUGUGUUGGUCAUUUACUGUGAGAAAAUUAGAGUGUUCAAAGCAGGCGUUUGCUUGAAUAGAUUAGCAUGGAAUAAUAAUUGAAGGCUUUCGUGUUCGAUUUGAUUGGUUUGUUCAUGGAAGCAAGGUUAAAAGGAACAGUUGGGGGUAUUCAUAUUCACUAGUUAGAGGUGAAAUUCUCGGAUUUAUGGAAGAUGAACAA
rnacentral:rRNA from 1 species